rnacentral:rRNA from 1 species
UGAGCAUGCGUCCAUUAGGCCUAGUUGGUAAGGUAAACGGCUUACCAAGGCUACGAUGGGUAGGGGGUCCUGAGAGGGAGAUCCCCCANACUGGUACUGAGACACGGACCAGACUCCUACGGGAGGCAGCAGUGAGGAAUAUUGGACAAUGGGCGCAAGCCUGAUCCAGCCAUGCCGCGUGCAGGAAGACGGUCCUAUGGAUUGUAAACUGCUUUUAUACAGGAAGAAACACUCCCUUGUGAGGGAACUUGACGGUACUGUAUGAAUAAGCAUCGGCUAACUCCGUG